UGAACCUUCUUAUGUAUCCUUGCCUGGAAAAUCCCAUGGACAGAGGAGACAGGUGGGCUGCAGUCCAUGGGGUGGCAAAGAGUCGGACAUGACUGAGCACAAGCAUCUCAUCAUCAAAGCUUCCUGAGCGCCAGCUGCCUCCUGGGACCCAGGAGGGCCGGGUGUGUGCCAGCGGCCCUCACUGCCCACUCUGUCCGCCAGAUGGCGCACUGACCGCGCGGGUGAGCGUGGAGCCCCCUCCGCCCCUCCUCCCAGGGCCCGGCUGUUGUGAAUUGCUGGCCAGUGUGGAGACCACCUGUUCAGCAGAUCCCCACUGCGGACCCAAAGCACAGAGGAGACUGAGGCUCAGAGAGCUCCAUCUCAGCUCAUCAGGUCCUGGAGGCUGGGUCCUGGAGGCUGGGGACCCCUGCACUAAACAGUCCUAGUUCUCCCUCUUCUGGGCACACGGUGUCAGGACUUCCCUUGUGGUCCGGUGGAUAAGAAUCUGCCCGCCAACACAGGGAACACGGGUUCGAUCCCAGGUCCAGGAAGACCCCACGUGCCGCGGGGCAGCUCAGCCUGUGUGUGUGCCUACAGCGUGUGCUCUGCAACAGGAGAAGCCACCGAAGUGAGAAGCCCAACUACUGCAACCAGAGAGUAGCCCCCGCUCGCAGAAACUAGAGAAAGGUCAUCGCGGCAACGAAGACCAAGUACAACCAAAAAUAACAAGUACAAGAAUGCCAAGGACAUGAUCUAUUAUGUCAUGCAAUGCUCCUCCAUUCUGAUAAAUUUCACCUUUUGCGAAGUCCUGGAAGAAGCUCUGCUUUUCUUGAGGAACUGAUGUGUCUUCUUUGCCCAAAACGAAAAUGAUGAAAAGAUCGUCUCUUUUCUCUUCAGCUGCCAGGGAGCUCAAAGCCAAAUGUGAAACUCUACUUUACUAUGUUAUCCACUUGGGCCUGUGAAGUCUGUGUGUUUGUUUUUUACUUUCCCGCCCCUUGGCUUCUUACUUUUAAUUCCCAGGCUUAGUUUUUAAAAUUUUAACUUUAUUGUGUGUUCUUGCUAGAGUUGCCUCAAAUCUAUAUGGAAUGAGGUGGAGUGUAAGAUAAAGGAAUGCAAUUGAAUA